rnacentral:rRNA from 1 species
AUUGAACGCUGGCGGCAGGCCUAACACAUGCAACUCGAGCGGCGCGGCGGCCGGGUGAUUAAUGCCUAGGUAUCUGCCUGGUACUGGGGGAUAACGUCCGGAACCGCGCCCUUAUACCGCUCACUAGCAGAUCCGCAUAGGUCGGAUUCGCUAGUGGGUGGGGUAAAGGUGUACCAAGGCGGCGAUCCGUAACUGGGCUGAGGGGAUGAUCAGUCACACUGGAACUGAGACACGGUCCAGAGUCCUACGGGAGGCAGCAGUGGGGAAUAGUGGACAAUGGGUGAAAGCCUGAUGCAGCCAUGCCGCGUGGAUGAAGAAGGUCUUCGGGUUGUAAAGCACUUUAAGUAGGGAGGCGUUACCUACAGAAUAAGAACCGGCUAAAUUCGUGCAAGCAGCCGCGGUAAUAC